CUGAGCUGAUCCACUCCCAUUGAGAGAAGGCGCUCUGAGUUGAAGGAGUUGAUCAGAGACCAGGAGAAGGCUCAAGUGAGUCAAGCUGAUGGACUCCUGGAGCAACUGGAGCAGGAGAUAGCUGAGCUGAGGAGGAGAAACGCUGAGCUGGAGCAGCUCUCACACACAGAGGAUCACAUCCAUUUCCUCCAGAGUUAUCAGUCCAUCUCCAGUCCCAGUGUCUCUUCAGACUUACCCAGCAUCGUUAUCCAUCCUCAGUACUUUGUAGAUGUCAAUAAGACUGUUUCUGAUGUCAGAGAGAGACUAGAAGGCAUCCUUAAAGGAGAAUGGACCAAGAUCUCCACCACAGUAAAUUCAGUGGAUAUCUUACUGCCUCCAGAGCCCAAGACUAGAGAACAAUUCUUACAAUAUUCCUGUCAGCUCACACUGGACCCAAACACAGCACAGAAAUCCCUCUCUCUGUCUGAGGGAAACAGAAAGGUGACAGUUGUUAAGGCUGUUAACGAUCCGAAUCCUGACCAUCCAGACAGAUUCACUGGUUGGUGGCAGGUCCUUUGUAGAAAGGUCUGUCUGGACGCUGUUACUGGGAGGUGGAGUUUCAUCAUGGGACUGUUUUUAUAGCAGUCUCAUUUAAAGACAUGAGUAGAAUAGGAAUGAGCAAUGAUUCUAGAUUUGGAUACAAUGACAAGUCUUGGGGUUUAGAGUGCUCUAGUAAUGGUUAUCGUUUCAGAUACAAUAAUGUUGAGACUAAAGUAUCAGGCCCUCAGUCCUCCAGAGUAGGAGUGUACCUGGAUCACAAGGCAGGUACUAUGUCCUUCUACAGCAUCUCUGACACAAUGACCCUCCUCCACAGAUUGAAACCACGUUCACUAAACCCCUCUAUCCCGGGUUAUGUGUUUGGUACAAAAAUGAUUCUGCUGAGCUGUGUAAACUGUAGAGUUCCCCAUAUUAGAGGGAUGGUUAAUGCUCUUUUAGUCUGGUAUGUACAACAAUCUUAUACAUUCAUAUUGAUGUAUUAUCACUUUGAUGUACCUUCUGAAUAACAACCGCUGUAUUGUA